AAGGUGUGUGUCCUCUCUCACUGUAUCGUCGAAAUAACCAGCUAAUUAAUGUCUGUUGCUGAACUGGCUACUCUUUUUUUCCACAUAUUCAGGGGACCCUUGAGCAGCUGGAGUUUGUCCCCAGUGAAUCUGCCAACUGUGAGUGCUUAGUAUGCUGCUACAUUGAUCCUCCUGCCCGGAGCCUUGAAGGUUUCAUCACACACCUCUCUCGUGAAGAUCAUCCACAGCUUCCUCGCAUUGUUUGGAAGCAACCAACGCACCUUAUCAAUCUUAAGCCUCCCUUGCCUCCCCUUCCUCUCAUUGCUUGGAAGGGACCAAAGCACCUUAGGAAUGUUGAGCCAUUGUCUCCCCCUUAAUUCUACUCCUCUCAUGGUGAGUGAAGCAAACCAAGGUUGUGUUUUUUUAAAAAAAAUCUGCUAACGUUGACAAAGGCUUUGAAAAAUCCACCAGGCAUCUCUCUAGUAGAGCACAUCAGCGGAAGGUAAUCAAAGAAUCCUAGCCAAACCGGACGGGCUUAUAAUUGUAUCAAUAGGUUUUUGUCAUUGUCUUGACUAUUUUUGAGUCAAUAAAACAAACUCUUAACCACUACUAGUUUCCCUUUCUCACUUGUAGUUUCGUUUGCCUAAUUUUCACCCCGUGUGCAUUUUUUUUUCAAGCAGAAGUUGGGACUUUCUCGCUACCAUGGCGACGAAGCAACCAAAGACAAGUUUUAAUAUCUGAUAACGUUGAGAUGUGUCUGGGGUUUUUCUUAAUGAUAACUAAAACAUUGUAGCGAAAGUGCAAGAAACUGUUGAGAUGAAUGCUUGUGAUUCUACGUUAUACCAAUUUAUCUACUAAUCGGUAAAUUGUAAUGGUA